GACGUACGCUGGCGGCGUGCUUAACACGUGCAAGUCGAACGGAAAGGCCCUGCUUUUGUGGGGUGCUCGAGUGGCGAACGGGUGAGUAACACGUGAGUAACCUGCCCUUGACUUUGGGAUAACUUCAGGAAACUGGGGCUAAUACCGGAUAGGAGCUCCUGCUGCAUGGUGGGGGUUGGAAAGUUUCGGCGGUUGGGGAUGGACUCGCGGCUUAUCAGCUUGUUGGUGGGGUAGUGGCUUACCAAGGCUUUGACGGGUAGCCGGCCUGAGAGGGUGACCGGCCACAUUGGGACUGAGAUACGGCCCAGACUCCUACGGGAGGCAGCAGUGGGGAAUAUUGCACAAUGGGCGGAAGCCUGAUGCAGCAACGCCGCGUGCGGGAUGACGGCCUUCGGGUUGUAAACCGCUUUCGCCUGUGACGAAGCGUGAGUGACGGUAAUGGGUAAAGAAGCACCGGCUAACUACGUG
rnacentral:rRNA from 1 species